GAGUUUGAUCCUGGCUCAGGACGAACGCUGGCGGCGCGCCUAACACAUGCAAGUCGAACGAGUGAGAGAGAGCUUGCUUUCUCGAGCGAGUGGCGAACGGGUGAGUAACGCGUGAGGAACCUGCCUCAAAGAGGGGGACAACAGUUGGAAACGACUGCUAAUACCGCAUAAGCCCACAGCUCGGCAUCGAGCAGAGGGAAAAGGAGCAAUCCGCUUUGAGAUGGCCUCGCGUCCGAUUAGCUGGUUGGUGAGGUAACGGCCCACCAAGGCGACGAUCGGUAGCCGGACUGAGAGGUUGAACGGCCACAUUGGGACUGAGACACGGCCCAGACUCCUACGGGAGGCAGCAGUGGGGAAUAUUGCACAAUGGGGGAAACCCUGAUGCAGCGACGCCGCGUGGAGGAAGAAGGUCUUCGGAUUGUAAACUCCUGUUGUUGAGGAAGAUAAUGACGGUACUCAACAAGGAAGUGACGGCUAACUACGUGCCAGCAGCCGCGGUAAAACGUAGGUCACAAGCGUUGUCCGGAAUUACUGGGUGUAAAGGGAGCGCAGGCGGGAAGGCAAGUUGGAGGUGAAAUCCAUGGGCUCAACCCAUGAACUGCUUUCANAACUGUUUUUCUUGAGUAGUGCAGAGGUAGGCGGAAUUCCCGGUGUAGCGGUGGAAUGCGUAGAUAUCGGGAGGAACGCCAGUGGCGAAGGCGGCCUACUGGGCACCAACUGACGCCGAGGCUCGAAAGUGUGGGUAGCAAACAGGAUUAGAUACCCUGGUAGUCCACACUGUAAACGAUGAUUACUAGGUGUUGGAGGAUUGACCCCUUCAGUGCCGCAGUUAACACAAUAAGUAAUCCACCUGGGGAGUACGACCGCAAGGUUGAAACUCAAAGGAAUUGACGGGGGCCCGCACAAGCAGUGGAGUAUGUGGUUUAAUUCGACGCAACGCGAAGAACCUUACCAAGUCUUGACAUCCUGCGACACACAUAGAAAUAUGUGUUUCCUUCGGGACGCAGAGACAGGUGGUGCAUGGUUGUCGUCAGCUCGUGUCGUGAGAUGUUGGGUUAAGUCCCGCAACGAGCGCAACCCUUAUGGUCAGUUACUGCGCAAGAGGACUCUGGCCAGACUGCCGUUGACAAAACGGAGGAAGGUGGGGAUGACGUCAAAUCAUCAUGCCCUUUAUGACUUGGGCUACACACGUACUACAAUGGCGUUAAACAAAGAGAAGCGAGACCGCGAGGUGGAGCAAAACUCAGAAACAACGUCCCAGUUCGGACUGCAGGCUGCAACUCGCCUGCACGAAGUCGGAAUUGCUAGUAAUCGCAGAUCAGCAUGCUGCGGUGAAUACGUUCCCGGGCCUUGUACACACCGCCCGUC
rnacentral:rRNA from 1 species